UCUCUCAGGUGUCAGGAAAGAGGACGACCAUCCCCGAUAGAGGAGAGGACCGUUCUUCGGUCAAGGGUAUACGAGUAGCUGCGCUCCCCUGCUAGAACCUCCAAACAAGCUCUCAGGAAGGAUUUUUGACAGUUAAUGUGAUUUUCCUUUCAGGACUAGGGAUCCCAGC
rnacentral:sRNA from 1 species